UACGUAGGGUGCAAGCGUUAAUCGGAAUUACUGGGCGUAAAGCGUGCGCAGGCGGUUUUGUAAGUUUGUCGUGAAAUCCCCCGGGCUCAACCUGGGAAUGGCGAUGAAGACUGCAAGGCUAGAAUCUGGCAGAGGGGGGUAGAAUUCCGACGUGUAGCAGUGAAAUGCGUAGAGAUGUGGAGGAACACCGAUGGCGAAGGCAGCCUCCUGGGC
rnacentral:rRNA from 1 species